rnacentral:rRNA from 1 species
AGAGUUUGAUCCUGGCUCAGGAUGAACGCUAGCGAUAGGCUUAACACAUGCAAGUCGAGGGGCAGCAUGGUCUUAGCUUGCUAAGACUGAUGGCGACCGGCGCACGGGUGCGUAACGCGUAUGCAACUUGCCUCACAGAGGGGGAUAACCCGUCGAAAGACGGACUAAUACCGCGUACACUCCAGCUUGGGCAUCUAGGCUAGAGGAAAUGAAUUUCGCUGUGAGAUAGGCAUGCGUCCCAUUAGCUAGUUGGUGAGGUAACGGCUCACCAAGGCGACGAUGGGUAGGGGAACUGAGAGGUUGAACCCCCACACUGGUACUGAGACACGGACCAGACUCCUACGGGAGGCAGCAGUGAGGAAUAUUGGUCAAUGGUCGGAAGACUGAACCAGCCAUGCCGCGUGCAGGAAGACGGCCUUAUGGGUUGUAAACUGCUUUUGUAAGGGAAGAAUAAGUCGUAUGUAUACGGCGAUGACGGUACUUUACGAAUAAGCAUCGGCUAACUCCGUGCCAGCAGCCGCGGUAAUACGGAGGAUGCAAGCGUUAUCCGGAUUUAUUGGGUUUAAAGGGUGCGUAGGCGGUAUUACAAGUCAGGGGUGAAAUCUUGGUGCUUAACAUUAAAAUUGCCUUUGAAACUGUGGUACUUGAGUGUAAAAGAGGUAGGCGGAAUGUGUUGUGUAGCGGUGAAAUGCAUAGAUAUAACACAGAACCCCGAUUGCGAAGGCAGCUUACUAUCAUACAACUGACGCUGAUGCACGAAAGCGUGGGGAUCAAACAGGAUUAGAUACCCUGGUAGUCCACGCA